UUGUUUGAAGUUAUCUUAACUUGCUUAGAGAGACUAUUUGGAACUCAUCCAAUCAGCAAGCAGGGCUGUGAGUGAGCAUGCGCAGUAGAAGCCACCACCGUUCAGUCUCCUGCUCAGGAUUGUUAGCGGUGCCAAUCGGCCUGAGCCAACACAUUUUCUGGAAUUUGCCGACAAAUUUGCUAGAGAUUUCAUCGCUUGUGGAACAAUAAGAAGUGCUUGUGGCAACUGCCUUGAGGGCUCUUCACAGCUGCUUUGUCAGUGGGCCUCAGUACACUGGAGAUAAAGCUGACCAACCACAGAUCAUUCCAAAGACCUUCAUCGCUAAGGGAACCAUUGUGGGCAACGGACACGAAAACUGGGCUCUCCUGAGGCUGCUUCCAUUGAUGGACCAUGGGAAGCUAUAAACUAAGAAUCAUCAUAAAUGAAGGGGACAUACGG